rnacentral:rRNA from 1 species
UCCUACGGGAGGCAGCAGUGAGGAAUAUUGGACAAUGGGGGAAACCCUGAUGCAGCCAUGCCGCGUGAGUGAAGAAGGCCUUUGGGUUGUAAAACUCUUUCGUCUGGGAAGAAAAUGACUGUACCCGGUAAAGAAAGCCCGGCUAACUCCGUGCCAGCAGCCGCGGUAAUACGGAGGGGGUUAGCGUUGUUCGGAAUUACUGGGCGUAAAGAGCGCGUAGGUGGUUUAUUAAGUUGGGCGUGAAAGCCCCGGGCUCAACCUGGGAACUGCAUCCAAAACUGAUUCACUUGAGUACGAAAGAGGGAGGUAGAAUUCACAGUGUAGCGGUGAAAAUGCGUAGAUAUUGUGAAGAAAUACCAAUGGCGAAAGGCAGCCUCCGGGUUCUGUACUGACACUGAGGUGCGAAAGCGUGGGUAGCGAACAGGAUUAGAUACCCUGGUAGUCCACGCCGUAAACGAUGUGUGCCAGCUGUUGGGAAGCAAUGCUUUUCAGUGGCGCAGCUAACGUCUUAAGUUGUCCGCCUGGAGAGUACGGCCGCAAGGUUAACUCUCAUGGGAAUUGACAGA